rnacentral:rRNA from 1 species
GGUUAAAACGCUCGUAGUUGGGUUUCUGUCGGACGCUCAGGUCUGCCCAAGUGGCGAGUACUUGUUCUGUGUCUGGCAUCUUCUUGGGGAACGGGUGCGCACUUCAUUGUGUGGCUCAGAAACCUUGACGUUUACUUUGAGGAAAUGAGAGUGCUUCAAGCGGGUGUCCGCCACGAAUACGUUAGCAUGGAAUAAUAGCAUUGGACCUCGGAUCAUAGCUGUUGGUUGCUGGAACCGGGGUGAGGGUAAACAGGGACAGUUGGGGGCAUUCGUAUUUAACUGUCAGGGGUGAAAUUCUUGGAUUUGUUAAAGACGGACUACUGCGAAAGCAUUUGCCAAGGAUGUUUUCAUUGAUCAAGAACGAAAGUUAGGGGAUCGAAGACGAUCAGAUACCGUCCUAGUCUUAACCAUAAACUAUGCCGGCUAGAGAUUGGAGGCUGUUGCUUUUCCGACGCCUUCAGCAUCUUGGGAGAAAUCAAAGUCUUUGGGUUCCGGGGGGAGUAUGGUCGCAAAGCUGAAACUUA